GGAGGGCCGCAUAGGUCAGAAAGUUUUGGUGCAGAGAAGAAGGAACGCAAAGCGAGGAGCAGCAGGUUCGGCGAGCCGCGGUCGACGCCUUCCUAAAACCACAGAGGAGCUGUGUUUCGAUCAUUGACAGGAGAGAGUGGGAAUUUAUUAGGACAAAAAUAUCUGGAAUCUCUAUGGAAACACAAUGAAGUCAGUUGCUCUGGCCCAGUUUCAAAGAGAACAGCAUCUUUCUGCACCUGCAGGUUUUAUGAUGCAGCAGCUCUGAAGUUUGAGCAGGUGAAUGUUAAAGUCUGCUGCGUUCAAGGGGUCACUCAGUGUGCACUGCAGGCCCGCGGCUGAUUUGAUCGGGUCGGGUCGGGUCGGUCCGGUCAGUGUGAGGGAUGAUACGGUGCUCUUAUCUUGUGUUGACAGAGCCGUACGUAAUCAGAUCCUGUUUACUGCAGGGAUUAAUUGAUCACCUAAUAUCAGCUGAUAAACCGUGAAUGUGGACCAAUGAGAGGCUCUCAUCAAACACCGCCGGCCAAUGGGAGCAGAGAACAGAGGAGAGUGGCUCCGGCAUUUUGCACUGAAGUGCAUUAGAAAUCUUCACUGUGUUUCGUCACGGCCUGCGGCGCUGAGGCGACGUGUGCAAUCAGGCUCUAUAAAAACACGCCGCAGAUGAGAGUUGAGAAACUGAUUGGAGAGCCCUUACAGAAGUGUGUGUGUGUGUGUGUGUGUGUGUGUUCGCAGCCCCUGAAUGCUGCAAAAGGCAUUGUUAUUAGUAUUGAUCCAUAUCCUUGACUUAGGUGGUAAAAAUGUGCUCUAUUAUUAGGCCCGUGUGCUUUGUUUUCACUAUUUGAGAGCUGUCCUCUCCAGGAUGAGAUGUGUGAAAGACCUCUAAAUCUUGUCUCAAAUACACAAUGGAGACCUUUAAAGGUCAGGUUACCUUAAUAUGGACCUCGCGUCUAAUGGAAAUUGCAUAUUGUUAUUGUUCUUACUGAAUAUUGUGAAAAUAUA